ACGGAGGGUGCAAGCGUUGUCCGGAUUUAUUGGGUUUAAAGGGUGCGUAGGCGGCCUAAUAAGUCAGUGGUGAAAGCCUCCAGCUUAACUGGAGAACUGCCAUUGAUACUGUUAGGCUUGAGUAUACUUGAGGUAGGCGGAAUUGACAGUGUAGCGGUGAAAUGCAUAGAUAUUGUCAAGAACACCAAUUGCGAAGGCAGCUUACUAAAUUAUAACUGACGCUGAGGCACGAAAGUGUGGGUAUCAAACAGGAUUAGAUACCCUGGUAGUCCACACUGUAAACGAUGAUUACUCGCUGUUGGCGAUAGACAGCCAGCGGCCAAGCGAAAGCGUUAAGUAAUCCACCUGGGGAGUACGCCGGCAACGGUG
rnacentral:rRNA from 1 species